rnacentral:rRNA from 1 species
AGUGAACGCUGGCGGUAGGCCUAACACAUGCAAGUCGAACGGCAGCACAGUAAGAGCUUGCUCUUACGGGUGGCGAGUGGCGGACGGGUGAGGAAUACAUCGGAAUCUACUUUUUCGUGGGGGAUAACGUAGGGAAACUUACGCUAAUACCGCAUACGACCUACGGGUGAAAGCAGGGGAUCUUCGGACCUUGCGCGAUUGAAUGAGCCGAUGUCGGAUUAGCUAGUUGGCGGGGUAAAGGCCCACCAAGGCGACGAUCCGUAGCUGGUCUGAGAGGAUGAUCCACCCCACUGGGACUGAGACACGGUCCCGACUCCUAAGGGAGGCAAGAGUUGGGAAUAUUUGACAAUGGGCGCAAGCCUGAUCCAGCCAUACCGCGUGGGUGAAGAAGGCCUUCGGGUUGUAAAGCCCUUUUGUUGGGAAAGAAAAGCAGCAGGUUAAUACCCCGCUGUUCUGACGGUACCCAAAGAAUAAGCACCGGCUAACUUCGUG